AUUGAACGCUGGCGGCAGGCCUAACACAUGCAAGUCGAGCGGAUGAAGGGAGCUUGCUCCUGGAUUCAGCGGCGGACGGGUGAGUAAUGCCUAGGAAUCUGCCUGGUAGUGGGGGAGAACGUCCGGAAACGGGCGCUAAUACCGCAUACGUCCGGAGGGAGAAAGUGGGGGAUCUUCGGACCUCACGCUAUCAGAUGAGCCUAGGUCGGAUUAGCUAGUUGGUGGGGUAAAGGCCUACCAAGGCGACGAUCCGUAACUGGUCUGAGAGGAUGAUCAGUCACACUGGAACUGAGACACGGUCCAGACUCCUACGGGAGGCAGCAGUGGGGAAUAUUGGACAAUGGGCGAAAGCCUGAUCCAGCCAUGCCGCGUGUGUGAAGAAGGUCUUCGGAUUGUAAAGCACUUUAAGUUGGGAGGAAGGGCAGUAAGUUAAUACCUUGCUGUUUUGACGUUACCAACAGAAUAAGCACCGGCUAACUUCGUG
rnacentral:rRNA from 1 species